GGGCCCGUGGCGCAGUUGGUAGCGCGUCUCGUUCGCAAUGAGAAGGUCGGGGGUUCGAUUCCCCCCGGGUCCACCG
rnacentral:tRNA from 1 species